AAAAAAAUGCCAUUUUUCAAACAUGUUGUAAAAACGUGCCAUAUGAUGAAAUAAUGUAAAGGAGGCCGUGAAAAACACUCCAGAAAGGUUUUCUUUGAAAAAAAAAUCAUCAUGAAUUUUGGCGCAAAAAAACGCCUUACUUUACUAUGUCGAAAAAAAAUGAGAUUUUUCAAACAUGUUGUAAAAACGUGCCAUAUGAUGAAAUAAUGUAAAGGAGGCCGUGAAAAACACUCCAGAAAGGUUUUCUUUGAAAAAAAAAUCAUCAUGAAUUUUGGCGCAAAAAAAACGCCUUACUAUACUAUGUCGAAAAAAAAUGAGAUUUUUCAAACAUGUUGUAAAAACGUGCCAUAUGAUGAAAUAAUGUAAAGGAGGCCGUGAAAAACACUCCAGAAAGGUUUUCUUUGAAAAAAAAAUCAUCAUGAAUUUUGGCGCAAAAAAAACGCCUUACUAUACUAUGUCGAAAAAAAAUGCAAAUUUUCAAACAUGUUGUAAAAACGUGCCAUAUGAUGAAAUAAUGUAAAGGAGGCCGUGAAAAACACUCCAGAAAGGUUUUCUUUGAAAAAAAAAAUCAUCAUGAAUUUUGGCGCAAAAAAAACGCCUUACUAUACUAUGUCGAAAAAAAAUGCAAAUUUUCAAACAUGUUGUAAAAACGUGCCAUAUGAUGAAAUAAUGUAAAGGAGGCCGUGAAAAACACUCCAGAAAGGUUUUCUUUGAAAAAAAAAUCAUCAUGAAUUUUGGCGCAAAAAAAACGCCUUACUAUAC
ensembl:lncRNA